rnacentral:rRNA from 1 species
GCCAGCAGCCAUAUCACCCUGCAUCUCUCAACUGAUCACCCACUGAAGGUAAGCAGGUUUGAGCCUGGCCAGUACUUGGAUGGGAGACCUCCUGGGAAAAACAGGUGGAAGUGGUGU